CCUACGGGAGGCAGCAGUGGGGAAUAUUGCACAAUGGGCGAAAGCCUGAUGCAGCGACGCCGCGUGAGGGAUGACGGCCUUCGGGUUGUAAACCUCUUUCAGCAGGGACGAAGCGCAAGUGACGGUACCUGCAGAAGAAGCACCGGCUAACUACGUGCCAGCAGCCGCGGUAAUACGUAGGGUGCAAGCGUUGUCCGGAAUUACUGGGCGUAAAGAGUUCGUAGGCGGUUUGUCGCGUCGUUUGUGAAAACCAGCAGCUCAACUGCUGGCUUGCAGGCGAUACGGGCAGACUUGAGUACGGCAGGGGAGACUGAAAUUCCUGGGGUAGCGGUGAAAUGCGCAGAUAUCAGGAGGAACACCGGUGGCGAAGGCGGGUCUCUGGGCAGUAACUGACGCUGAGGAACGAAAGCGUGGGUAGCGAACAGGAUUAGAUACCCCUGUAGU
rnacentral:rRNA from 1 species